AUUUAUACUAAGAUAAGAAAGCGGGCUUCGAGCCCACUUAACAGCCCAUGGACGACGUGAUCAAGAGUGUCGGCUCAAAGUGGGCUUCCUGAUGGCCUUCGAAUGGGCUUCGAAUGGGCCUCCUCUUCUGCCUAGCUCUAGAUGCAGCAAGCAAUGGUAACUUCAACAAACGUUACCCAGCUGAUGAUACAGCCCUGAUAGAGAACCUUGCUUGCAGCAACAGUACCAAGAAUGCUGAUUUUGAGAGGAAGAAGAUUGCUGGAGCUAUUUUAGGAAAUCAGAUGGCAGAGGUGAAUGCUAAGCUGGAUUCAGUUCAUAACUUGCUCACAGGGAAGAAGCAUGUCCACUUUGCAGCUGAGGAAGAGACUAUUGAGCCUGAGCCUGAGUUAGAGGAAGGAGUCUUCUACAUAUAUGGUUAGAGAUACAGGAAGUUUGGGCAGCCACAAGACAACUUUAGUGGCAACAGAUUUGCAGGGAACAAGGGUUCCUCCAACUACACUCCAAAGCUUGCUUUCCAGAAGACCUUUCCUCAAAGCAGCUUUUAGAGGAACUAUGGUAAUUCAACCUACCAAGCCCCUUCUCCACCCUCAGCAGAGACAAGAAUGGAAUCAAUGCUUGACCAGAUUCUGGAGAGCCAAACAAAGCUUGUUGUGGAGCUCUCUACACAGAUCUUAAUGGGAAGAUUGACAAUCUGAGCUCUCACUUGAAGAAGCUAGAUGUACAGGUCGCUCAAACAGCACAAUCUAUCAAGAGACAAUAGGGUUUUCUUCCUGGUAAUCCUGAUGCUAACCCAAGAAAGAGCUGUAAUGCCAUCUUGAUCAGAGAAGGAGAUGAUGUGUGGGAAGAAUUGGACACUGAAGACGAGUUGGAGCUCGCAGUUGUAGAGAUGGUGUCGACCGACACCUUCCUGUGUCGAUCGACACCAUAUGGGACGCUUUUCUCAGAGACGACCCAAUACGACGGUGUCGAUCGAUACCCCUCUAGUGUCGAUCGACACUGGAUCCGAACUGCACCUUGUGAGGUGCAAGUACCUAUGCAGCCCGAGUCUGUCUACACCCCUCAUGUCCCCUAUCCGAGGAGGCGUCGUUCUAAGCAGGAGUUUCAUGUUGCCAAGUGCACAACUAUAAUCGAAAAGAUCCUCCAUACUCUUCCUAAAGAUGCUUCUGAGACAUCUUCUUCCUCACUCACCAGGUAUGUCAAGCGACUUGUUGACAAUGGAAUUAGCUCAGAUGAAGCAAAGCUGCUUACCAGAGACAUCAGUGCAAUCAUGCUGCCUAAGGCCAAGAGGGAGAAGGCACAAAGAGUAGAUAUAACUGAGUACAUCUGCACCAUUACUCCUGGUCAAACCACUGAGAAGCUUCCAGAUCCAGGUAGCUUUGUCCUUGAUUGCUCUAUCUCCACAAGCAGAUUCAGCCGCUCUUUGUGUGAUCUGGUUCCAAGCAUCAACCUCAUGCCUAAGUCUGUUGCUGAGAGACUAGGCAUGACUCACUACAGACCUACUCGCAUCACUCUUCUCUUCGCGGAUUGUUCCAAGCGAAUCCCUGAAGGAAUCCUUGAAGAUGUUCCUGUUAAGGUUGGUAACUCCAUAAUCCCUGCUGUUUUCGUGGUCCUGGACUAUGAGAAGGAACCCAAGGAUCCCCUUAUCCUUGGAAGAGCAUUCCUAGCUACAACUGGUGCUAGGUUUGAUGUGAAGAGAGGGAGAAUCUCUCUCAAGGUUGUGAUUCAGAGAUGGAGUUUGACAUGGAUGGUUCAGAGCUUACUAAGCCUAUCAAUUGCAUUGCCUCCCGCACAGACACACCUCCUCUGAUCAGAAUCCCACCACAGAGCCACACAUAACGCUCCAACCCGUCCAGCUCGCAAAUGAGAGUUGCAGAGCAACGGUGUCGAUCGACACCACUAACUCUGUCGAUCGACACCCACGGGUUUCACAGACAGAGGAUUCUGCACACUCUCUUCAGUCCACACCAAUUGAAGAUCUCUGUGAUAAGUUCUCUUCUCUCUCUUCUCCUUUUUUAUCUUUGAUUAAUUCUUUGGAUUAUUCGAAGAUUGCUUCACAAGAUAACAAGCCUAGAGUUCGUCGAAAGCUUGUUUCUCCUGUUGUUUUUGCAGGUGAUGAGAUGAGUGUCGAUCGACACACCCCUGAGUGUCGAUCGACACCAGAAGCUGCUCCAACCAGAUCCGUUUACACACCGCCUUGGAAGGCGAGGAGGCAGCAGCAAUCCACCACCACCACUCCACCCACAUCCUAAACUCCGCCAAAUCAAGCUAUUGACUCAAAACAAGCGCUUAGUGGAGUUAGGAAUCAUGAUCUAUAUUUCUCAUGUUUUUUGCCGAGGGUGUCGAUCCAGUAUGCAAGUUCCCCUUUGUUUACUCUCUAAAAAGA
rnacentral:sRNA from 1 species